rnacentral:lncRNA from 1 species
GCCACACCCUUGGCAUAUGGAGGUUCCCAGGCUAGGGGUCUAGUCAGAGCUACAGCUUCCAUGCCAGAUCCGAGCCAUGUCUGUGAUCUUCACCACAGCUCAUGCACUGCCAGAUCCUUAACCCACUGAGCAAGGCCAGUGAUCGAACCUGCAACCUCAUGGUUCCUUGUCAGAUUCGUCUCCACUGUACCACGACAGGACUCCAUAACAAAAGCUUUUAUGUGACUUGUAAACUGGUAGCACCAAACACUUCCAAAAACAUUUACUGUCAGCAAGUUAAAUAGAUAAGGCAACAAGACAACUAUACGGAAAGUCAGCUUAAAAAUGGAAAACAUUCUGGUUUCUAAGAAAGAUAGAUUGUUAGGAGUUCCCUUGUGGCACAGAGGGUUAGGGAUCCAAGGAUCCAGUGUUGUCACUGCAGUGGCUGCUGUGGCAUGGGUUUGAUCCCUGGCCUGGGAACUUCUUAUGGGGUCAGUUGAAAAAAGGGGGAGGGAUUGUUAUUCCAUAUUUACAAAGCCCUGUGUAUCUUCCUAUUCUUUUUCCAUUUCCAAUCAUCUUCCAUAAAUUGCCAAGUAUGCAAAAUUAGGAGCCAAAGAUAGUCACAAAUUUUAAUGUUCUGUAAUACAGAAGUAGAAGGAAGCUUACUAAUGAACCAGUUACAGUUACCUCCUUUAUUUCUGGCACUUAAUAAUUUGUCACUUCAUGUGUUGUUAAAGUAAAGGGUAAAAAUAAGUCUUUACUUUGCCUAAGACCUAUCAAUAAUUUAUGAUUGCCCUUAGUGAAAAGUGACCAAACUCCAUAACAGAGACAAAACUAUCUGACUGCUAUCCUAGCACAUGAAUGUGUUUUGAAAGAAGGGCCCAUUAGGAGUUUUUAAAAAGUUCCUAGAUUUUAUAGAAGAACUGAGCUUGCUUUUUUUUUUUUUUUUUUCUGGCUGCACUUGCAGCAUGUGGACGUUCUCCGGCCAGGGACUGAACCCUUGCCACAGCAGAGAUUGGAGCCACAUAGUGACAAUGCCGGAUCCUUAACCUGCUGUGCCACAAGGGAACUCCUCAAAUUUACUAUUUGUAUUUUUUUGUCUUUUUUUUUAGGACUGCACCUGCUACAUAUGGAGGUUCCCAGGCUAGGAGUCGAAUGUGAGCUGCAGCUGCCUGCCUACACCACAGCCACAGCAAUACCAUAUCUGAGCCACAUCCUCAACCUACUCCACAGCUCAUGGCAACAACUGGAUCCUUAACCCACUGAGUGGGGCCAGGGAUGGAAUCAGCAUCCUCAUGGAUACUAGUCAGCUUCCUUACCCCUGAGCCACAACAAGAACUCCGAGUUUGCUAUUUUUAAAAAACGAGGCUUGAAAUGCUAAAAGAGUGAAGAUAAGGGCAAAAGGGGAAAGGAGGUUAUGGCUUCCCAUUUGAAAACUUUAACAGGAUUGUCAUUUUGAACUGUAAGCAACCUAAGUCUAAUCUCUUUGUUUUCUGGAACUGACUUGUGGCUUGAAUCUUAAGGAUAAGGAAGUCAGCUGGAGGACAACUAGAGGGAGAGGACUCUAGGCCCAGAAUGCAAACACAUUCUAGCCUUUAGAGCUCAGUGGCUCGCCAGCCGGCCAAGAAAGAUGCCGCAUCAGUCUUGCUCACAGCCUCCUCUCAUUUCAUUUCUUUCACCCCAGGGCCCAUCGCAGCUCUCUCAACGUUCCAGCACCACCCCCCUCCAGCUUCCUUCAACACCCUUCAGCCUCCGCACCAGCGCAGCCUCCUUCAGACAGGUGUCUUGCCUCCGCCUCUGCCACCGGUUUCUGUCUAUUCGCCGUCCUCCCUUUCUUUGAGCGUCUAUAAUCAGACCCUUCAUAAAUUUUUGGACGUUUCCCUCUGCCUUCAGGUCUCUUUCCUCAGGCCCAACUUUCAGUCUCGCCUCAGUCCUGUCCCUCGAUCUUCGGGGUCCCCUCCCUCGGUCUUCGGGGUGCUCUCCCUCUCAAUCUUCGGGGUCCUCACUCGGUCUGUGGAGUCCCUUCCCUCGGUCUGAGAUGUCUCCUUCGGUGUGCGGGAUUUCUUCCCUCCGAUUAAGGAGUCUCCUCCCUCGGGUCUGCAUGAUUUCUCCUCAGCCUCCACCCUUGGUCCAUGGGGAUUCCCACCUCCGUGUCGGCCGCAAGCACGGGUUUCCCCCACUCACCUCCCGGCUCUCUGUUAGCUU